rnacentral:misc_RNA from 1 species
GUUCAGAUUGCUCAAUCACUGGAUACACGAGAUACACCUUCCCUCCUUUUUCUAACUCAUCCAGCAUCAUCUCAUAAACCUUCUCAAAGCCUUCAUCAUCUCCUACAAUAGAAUAUGUUUUGACUGGUACCCGUCCAGGAGGCAAAUCAGUUAUAUGAGUCAGUGACAUGUCUCCAUACAAUGCAAGAGCAAGCGUCCUUGGAAU